UACGUAGGGUGCAAGCGUUGUCCGGAAUUAUUGGGCGUAAAGAGCUCGUAGGCGGUCUGUCGCGUCUGCUGUGAAAACUCAGGGCUUAACCCUGAGCUUGCAGUGGGUACGGGCAGACUAGAGUGCGGUAGGGGGAGACUGGAAUUCCUGGUGUAGCGGUGGAAUGCGCAGAUAUCAGGAGGAACACCGAUGGCGAAGGCAGAUCUCUGGGCCGUAACUGACGCUGAGGAGCGAAAGCGUGGGGAGCGAACAGG
rnacentral:rRNA from 1 species